rnacentral:rRNA from 1 species
UUUGUUAAUAUAAUAAAAUAUAACUGAAAUAUGAAAUAUUAAAUAAGCUUUUCAUAAAAACAUUAUAUUUUAACUUAAGCAACUAUUAGGAAAAUUUAUAUGGUACUUAAAACAAGUUUAUAUUAAAAGAUAA